CCUACGGGAGGCAGCAGUGAGGAAUAUUGGUCAAUGGGCGGAAGCCUGAACCAGCCAAGUAGCGUGCAGGAUGACGGCCCUACGGGUUGUAAACUGCUUUUAUACGGGAAUAACGCGCCUUACGUGUAGGGUUUUGCAUGUACCGUAUGAAUAAGGCCCGGUUAAUUCCGUGCCAGCAGCCGCGGUAAUACGGAAGGUCCGGGCGUUAUCCGGAUUUAUUGGGUUUAAAGGGAGCGUAGGCCGCAUGUCAAGCGUGCUGUGAAAUGUCCGGGCUCAACCCGGGCCUUGCAGCGCGAACGGGCGUGCUUGAGUCCGCGGAAAGCAGGCGGAAUUCGUCGUGUAGCGGUGAAAUGCUUAGAUAUGACGAAGAACCCCGAUUGCGAAGGCAGCUUGCUGCAGCGGAACUGACGCUGAUGCUCGAAAGCGCGGGUAUCGAACAGGAUAAGAUACCCUUGUAGUC
rnacentral:rRNA from 1 species